UUACGUCCCCUCAUUGUCUCCACGGUUACGAAACUGAUUUAUCAUUCAGCAACGACUUCCAAUCUUCUUCUUCUACAGCGGUUUCGCAAAAACCGUUUCUCUUUCAAAUGCUAUUCUCUCCCUUUUCCCAUUAUCAAUCGCAUCGCUUCAUAAACCCUAAUCCAUAAUUUGUUUCUGUUUCUGUUUCUCACUCGAAUCUUUUCUCUCCAUAUUCCAUUCAAUUGCAUAAGGUGAAAAACAAACCAUGGAGCACGGUUGCGACAUCAGAUUCACGAACAACAAUUUGCGGAUCCAUCAACAAGCUUCCAUUCGCACACUGAUUGCUGAUCGGUUUUGCUUGAAUGGGAAAAUAGAGGGAAACAAUGUUGGAAUUUUGAAGAGUAACUGUGGAUAAUUCUUCCAGUAGAACAACCAAUUUGAUAAAGGUUGAUAGUACUAAUAAGCGUGGAAGUUUGUUGGAAGUUGUUCAAGUUCUUACUGAUAAGAAUCUCAUUGUUAGAAGAGCGUAUAUUUCAUCUGAUGGAGAAUGGUUUAUAGAUGUUUUUCAUGUUACCGAUCAAAAUGGGAAAAAGUGUCUUCAAGAAGAUGUUGCUGACAGAAUUCAACAGGAAAUGGCGACUCCAGUUGAGCUUCCAAACAGGAUAAGAGCGGAAGGGAAUCAUUAUUAUUCCAUGUGCAACACCCGAAGGACUUGGAUGUGCAGUUCCUCCAAUUAUGGCUCUUCUUUUAUACUUGAUGUAAGCUCUUUUGGUUAAAGUUUUUGUUGUUUAUUGUUUCUUUUCUUUCAUGGAUCAAUCCACAUCAAGGCUCAUUUUGAUUUCUAAUCUCCCAGUUUUCAA